rnacentral:lncRNA from 1 species
AUGACAGCCUUUAAGGAACAGUUUGUUCUUGGGAAACAGCUUCAUCUGAAAGAUGAUCAUAGAGUAACUGCCACCUGCAAUUGCUGUGACAUGCUUGUUUCCAGCUCACGAGAUGAGGAUCCAGAUGAUGUCAACAGCCUGAUUAACAAAGGAGCCCCAAUGUGGGGGACAUUAAACAGGGGGAGAGAGGACUAAAGGCACAAC